CCUACGGGUGGCAGCAGUGAGGAAUAUUGGUCAAUGGACGAGAGUCUGAACCAGCCAAGUCGCGUGAAGGAUGACUGCCCUAUGGGUUGUAAACUUCUUUUAUAUGGGAAUAAAACGUUCCACGUGUGGGAUUUUGUAUGUACCAUAUGAAUAAGGAUCGGCUAACUCCGUGCCAGCAGCCGCGGUAAUACGGAGGGUCCGAGCGUUAUCCGGAUUUAUUGGGUUUAAAGGGAGCGUAGGUGGAUUGUUAAGUCAGUUGUGAAAGUUUGCGGCUCAACCGUAAGAUUGCAGUUGAAACUGGCAGUCUUGAGUACAGUAGAGGUGGGCGGAAUUCGUGGUGUAGCGGUGAAAUGCUUAGAUAUCACGAAGAACUCCGAUUGCGAAGGCAGUUCACUGGACUGCAACUGACACUGAGGCUCGAAAGUGUGGGUAUCAAACAGGAUUAGAUACCCUUGUAGUC
rnacentral:rRNA from 1 species